UGUGCGCCGCCAACAACUAACGGACGUUCCGGGGCAUGGGGAGAGCGCCUCGUGCAAACCGCGCCGGGCACCGCUCUUCAUUAAGUGAUCGCUGCUAUCAAACACGCUCUGGAUGUCUUGAAGGGGAGGGGGGGCGGGGAGAGGCGGAGGGAAGAGGGGGAAAUCCCUUUUAGUUUUGCGAUUAGGCUGCCAGGCUUUGUAAAGGGCUUAAAAACAAAGUCUUGCUCAGUCUUUUGUAGGAGAGAUCCAGAUGUUAUGUAGAUUUCUGUUUGCGUGUUCGUUUUGAGCGGAUCCGGCGGUGAGCGCAGUAUUUACGUGUGUGUGUUGCUGGACUUUACCGUUUAUCGACGUUGCGCUUGUGGAAUGUAUGCUGGAGUAUUAGCUCGGUAAUGCCUUCUAAUGGUAGUGCUAAUUACAGUGGGGUUAUUUAGCAAAUUAAGUGAGAUGAUGCAUCCCCCCCCCCACCCUUGAGUACCGAAUGAACUUUUCCGAACGCACAGGCACACACACACACACACACACGCGCGUUAAUUUUGGUGCGUUUCUCUCGCCCAAUCACUUCGCUGAAGCUGCACCAUGCCUUACCUCAGAGCAGUCAAUUACCAAAGCUACCCGGGAUCAUCAAUCAUGGGGGAUGCUUGAAGUUUAGGGGAGGAGCGAUGGUCAAACUAUCGAUUGCUGCAGUUUUGUCCUCCCCAACCCCCCACCCUCGUUCACGGUCCCCUGCACAUAAAAUCUAAAACAGACUAUCCCGUUAAUAGUGGAAUUUAUCAAUGAUUAUGUACCCGUUUGUGAAUGUGGCCUCAUACAUAGAUGGCUUUUGAAAAUACACGGCAGAAAAUAUAUUAUUCCGUUAGAUUUUGGUUUGCUUUGCUUUUCGUGGUGAUGACGAUGCUUUUCAGAGGUUUUUUUUUUUAACUUUAAGAAAAUGACUCAAGGGGUAGUUAUAGAUAUUUGGCCUGAUUUUAAUAGGCGAAGGGAAUGAGCUCCAGAGGUCAAUAAACCCCUCCAAAAUGAUGAAUGAUUGAGUACCUGUGAUGAUGAUAGUGAUUACCGGAGCAAUUAAACAGUUUGAUUAAAUGAGCCAUCAUAACAAUGAUGUCUGCGGGAAAUCAGCCCUCACGUAUAAAGAAAGAUAGUGUGGAGAGCUGACAAACGCCAGUGGGCAUUCCUGCAUGUUCCGCUAGCGCCGAGCCCUGCAGAGCAGGGCUGUAUUUACAAAUAUGAGGGGAAUACGGAGAAAAGUCCCUCUCCUACUUAGAGCCAGAGUUGCACCCUGCUUAAAACCCGCCAGAAGCCGGAGAGCAGACACGGGGUUUUCUUUUUCCUAGAGGAUCUCCUCCAAGAUUAAAGCUAGUCCUAAGAGCAACCGAAUUGCUGUGACUGACUUUCACGGGACUGUAAAGAGAGAUCGGCUCAAAAGUCCAAAGAGAAAUGAGGUGUCCGGUAUGGAAGUGCAUCUCAGUCAACCGCCAGCUCCUUUUGCCGAGGCUGGAAAUGGUUUUAACAGGCGGUAAAAUUUCAUCUUGUGGUGUCAAAUUGGGGUCAGUUUGGGGUUAGCGCUCUCAGUGUCCGAGCAGGAGCUGUCCAGCUGUGUGGGGAUUCAUUAAGGGCAAAAGAUCCGUUUCAAGAAAAACAAUACAAAGACAAUCAGAGGGCUAAAGAUCCUCUUCAAAUCGCAUUUUACAAGUGCACCAGAACAAAUAUGGAUGCUGAAACCUAUUCCCUUCAAACUCCCAAAUCGGCUUCUUAGCCCUCGGAGGGAGCGAGAGAGAAAAUCCUCUAAAAGUUAAGAAGAGUCUGUUUUCAAUCAGCCUUUCCGAAGUGUGGCAUCUUAGUCCUUUGCUGGCUUUGAGACAUGCCUCUCUUGCUUGCUCGUUACAUCUCUCCCUCCCUCCUUCUCUCUCUCUCUUUUUCCACAGCCUUGCAAAAGCGGAUGGCACAACAGGUAAUAUUUCAGAUUUCAAGAAUAAAUCCCACCGGAGACCUUAAACCGCUGUUUUGCACGCGCGUGUGCUCCUAUCACAAGAUUUAAUGCAAAUAGAAAAUUUUUAGGGGGAAACAAGCCGUGCUUGCAUGAAAUCCUAUUGUACCCUGUAGGAAAUUUUGAGCUCUCCUGGUAGGUGAUCCUCCAGUCCGAUGGGUAAUUUAGGCUAGAUUUACUUUCCGGUUCUUAGCACUUGUGGAAAGCACCUAUUGCUAAUCUGGUUUAUUAAAUUCGCACGGUUUAAAUCCUCUUAACGUCCCUACAUCUGUUAGGACAAUUGACGCCUUGCUACAGGGACAAAUAACUUGAACCUUAAUCUUGUUUGUAACUUUAUUCAAUGUUUGUUUGUUUGUGUGCUGAGUUCAAGUAUUUUGGGGGAUGCCAUUGUGUUCGGUAACACGUAGACUGCAUUUGAAAGCAAAACUCCUGUUAGACGGGUCAAGGAUAUCAUGGAACACAGCGAAAAAUUUAGCAUAUUCGAACUGGCUUUUUAUCUCGAACUAUCAUUCUAGGCAAUGUGUCAUAAUAAAUGAAGAAAGCAAUCUGCCUGAUAAAAUAUGCACGCGGGACACCACCGUGACACCGUAGUGAAAUUCACGUGAAUUUUACUUUUUGUUUUGCUUGCAAGACGAAGUGUGGAGUUUAAAUAGUACUUUUUUCUUUUUAUAAUCAGGAUUGUGCCACAGUUAAAUUCCUACCCCCAAACCCGCUCUUUACCACACUCUCCUUUGCCCUUACGGUUGUUUUUUACAACUUCAGUCACUUUUUAUUCGUCUCAGCACUCUUUGAUUCGCCUCCGACGUCCCGCAGCUGCAAGACUUUCGAGGUCCCAUCUCGGGUGCCCCUGUGAAAUCAUGCACGUUUUAGCUUCUGCAGAUCACUGGGUUCAUUUAGCUCCUCACCCUGAUCCCCCCGGCUGCCAGCGGUGUACUUCGCUUUUCAGUAACGUGUUAUUAUUUGUCGAAAAUCUUUCUAGUCCUGAAAGUCAAUGGUAGCCCAUCACGGUGAACUUUUCUUGACCUCGACUGCGGUACGACUGAGAUCUUUGGGAGCUGGAUUAGAAGGAGGUUCAUUUACCUGUUACUUCGCUUUUUACUCCUUAUCCCACCCCUCCGCCUUUUUCUUUUUUUUUUUUUUUUUUUUUUUAGGGGGAAACCCCCGGCCCCGCAGGAGACAGGCCCGCCGCGGGUUGGGCCUGCGCUGCGGAGCGCGGUGUGCCCGCGGCCCGGGGCCGUGCGCGGCGCUGCCCCGGCGGGGCUGCCAUCCACCCAUCCAUCCACCCAUCCCUCCAUCCAUCAGCGGCCCUCUAGCGCUAUCUGGCGGGGCUCCAGCCCAGCCCGAGCCGCCGGGGCCGGGCACGGGGCUCGCUCCCGCCGCGCAGCUCAGCGGCCCCCGCGGGACGUGGUGAGGCCCAGUGCCGGGUUCCAUCCCUGAGGGGCCAAACCCGCCGCGGGAAGGGGCAGAGGGAUGAACCCCUUCCCGUUUGUCUGGCUUAUGUCAAACGGGUGGGUGCGAAGCGCUGAAGUCAGGGAAGAGAUGGGAUUUUUUUUUUUUUUUUAAUUAUGUUAUUAAGGCUGGAAUGUUUGUAGAAGUGGGAUGUUUGUAAAAGUGGAGACCGUAAACAGUCGACGUGUAUUUCCAUCACACACCAGAGAGGAAGAAAAAAAGAAAGAAAAAAAGAAAACAACCACAAACCUGUCAGGGUUUCCCACUAGUACUGUUUGCACUGGGUAGUCAAAAAUCUAGUUUGCAAUUGUUCAAAGAAUCCCGAAGUAUGAAAAAAAUUUAAUCUUUCCAGUAUAACAUGGGAACCAAAAGGACAGUUAGGGCAAAGUAAAUGGCUUUAGGGUGAUAUCAGAGAAUCCGCAAAGGCUUCAAACUCUGCUCAGAGCUCUGCUCUAGCUCACUCAAAAUAUCCCCUUUUGUUCUCCAGCUGCCUGUAAAACUCCAGAAGAGGAGCGCUCUCAUUUUUACACUGGAGUUCUCGGUCCGGAGAGAACAAUAUACUCCUACCUCUUUUGAAAUGAUCCGGAGACUCUCACAACACACAGGCAAUCACUCGAAGCACGAAUUUCUUUUUUUUUUUUUUCCCCCAAGAACUGCUCGGCCCAUUGUUUGAAGUGGGAUUCUGUGCAGAGCCCAAAGAGAAAAGGAAAAAAAAAAAAAAUCCUGAGAGCCCGGUUUGGUAUUGCACAGAGAGAGAGCUGACAAAAUAUUAUAGCGUGUUUCCUAGAAGUACAUGGUGAGAGCCGGCGGUGUGUUCCCGAAAAGAGGUUGCUUUUUAUUCCCACCACCACCCCCCUCAAGAUUGUGAUCGUCUUUGUAUGUCUUUCUUUUGAUCCCACAAAGAGAAUGCAAUACACAUAUAUGUGUUUGCUCUCCAUACAAGAAAUGCCAUACAAUGGAAUAUGUGGCCGGUUAGUCCUCAUAAUGCUUAGUUUUGCUGUAAUUAAUUGAAAACAGUUAUUAGGUCGUCAUUGGCAAUAGCGUAAAUAAUUGCAGCAGAUUUUUACUUAAAAUUGACCGGUCAUAGAGUGAUAGAUCGAUUCGAGGUAUAAAAAUGAUGUAUCAAAACAUCAAUGUCGAUUAUUUGAAAUAUUGUAGUCGAAUCUUUUUAUUGCUUCAUCGGUUAAGUGUCUGAAAGUGCUGUGUUCCAACAUAUAUUUAUGUUGUCAAUACUGUCAAAACUGUCAGUUUUAUUACAGUGGAUUUGUAAUACAUUUCGGAUUUGCUCAUUUACAUAAAAUGUCCACCUCAGAUACCCCUCCUUUUCUCCAUCUCUGGAAAUCUGUGUCAGUUUAAUGAAAGGAUUCAAGACUCAUACCUGAAGAGGGAAAAAAAAGAAAAAGGAAAGGAGAAAAAAAAAAAAAAAAAAAAAAAAAAGGAGGUGUUGCUCCAUUAUGUCCAAUUUUAACAUCCGUUUGGAAAGCUUGGGCUAUUUCUGACUCGCCAAAAGAGGGAAUUCCUCCCCCCUUCCCCCUCCCUCCCCCGGCCCCGCUUAUUUCCCUAGUAGAAUUUAAACACUUUCCUACUCUCACACCUAGAUUAAACCCUCCAGGAGAAUUGGGAAAUUGUACAGGGUUACAGCGAGGAGCCGAAGCACACCUGUGAAUGCCACAGCCUUCCCAAAGUGAGCAACAACCCCCCGAACCACGCACACCCGCACAGGGGUUUGAAUCCUGCUAGAAAGAAGGAGACAAAAGGAGCAAUAAAUGCGUGUGAGAUCCUUUCCUAACGGCUUGGAGCCCAAAGGAAAAAAGCAAACUGUAAGCAGUGUUGGGCAUUUGAUGCCCCCCGCCCCUAUUUUAUCAGGGUCUGAUCGAUGUGAUUAUUCCCUUUAACUGCAAGCAGUUAUUUUUUAUUAGCAUGAUCUCAGGCAACUCUCUAAUUUUCUCCAAGAGCCCAGCUGAGGGAUAGAGAAACUCAGGAAUAAAUAAAUAAGUCCGUUUGCACAAUAAACUCUCUUCGAUAGAACAGUGAAAUUAGGCAAGUAACUUUAUUUCCCACCCCUUUCCGAGGAUAAGGGUGCUUAAAGGUGUUGGUGAGAUGGACCUGAGGGCUAUGUGGGUUGGUUUCUUUCCCCUUCCCCCUUCCCGUAAACCAUCCCCCCCCUUCCCCCCGGGAUAUCUGUGUUUAAAUAGAUGCUGAAGAGAUUUCUGAGUUCACGGGAAACAAGGAAGGUUAGUUAAGGGAAUGGCAGCGCGCCUGGCAGGUAUUUUAAUGACUGUCCCUUCCUUUGAACACUUUCAAUAUCUCUGCUUCUAGUACAGAAUAUGCUUUCCAAACCAAGUAUGAUUUCUGUUGUAACUCUCUUGUGUGAUUGUGAUCCCUUCUGAGGUAAAUUGAGAAGUACGCUGCGCAAAAAGAGGAAAUCGCCCCUGGGGUGCUUUGUUUACUUUGGUUUGUAAAAUCCUGCUAGGAGAUGGUUUCCUCAGUGUGUGGCAAGUGUUUCUUCAAGAAAUUCAUCAGCCCUUCUACAAUUACUUCGAGCUCCGAGGGAAGAAAGCUGCCAUCACUUUCUCACAUCUCAAGGUGUUGCAUGGGGGAGAGAAGAAAAGGCUGGAGCAUUUAAUUAUAAUGGGGAGGGGGGGUGGGGAGAGCGGAGGCUGCAGAAAGCCGUCCCAAGCCUGUACCUGGAAAAGAAAAACCUGCAAGGGUGUACUUGGGAAGCGUGUGCCAUUUAGACAUGGGGAAAAGUACCCCGUCUUGUGCAGUAAUUAGUCUGAACAAUAAACAUAAUUGGAACAAAAUCA